CACACUUCCUGCCACUGGGUUCUGCCCAGGGAGGCAGGGGUUCAUCUGGAUGGAAGCCAGAACCCAGCCCAGAAGCCCAGCCCCCCACUCCUGGGGAAGGAGCGAAAAGCCACCCCAAAAGCCCACACUUCCCAGCACACCCAGCAGCCCCAGGCUGGCCCCACCCAGAAUUUUCCUCCGAAAGGUGGUCCCACACCAAGGGGAAGACCCCCAUGACCGGUCUUCCGUCCUGACCUUGAUCAGCCUCAAGGUGUCCCCUGCCACGUCCCACCCCCAGCUUGCAGGGGCCAUUUCUAAACUGGGGGCUCUGCUCUUUGUUCCGGGGCUGCGUGGAGUGGGGAAGGUGAGAGCCAGGGUGGCACGCUCCCGGGAUUCUGAGGCGGUCGGCAUGGCCUGGAACCCUGGGGGCUGGGGCCGUGAUCACCUCCGGAGGCCAGCCACGCCAGCACCCGAUUCGACGCUCUGGACAACCAGGACAUAGCACGGGACCGGAGUCAGGGGCUGGGACCCAGGAGUGAGGAGGAGCAGCGGGGAUGAGGCCCAGUCCCCAAAGGGAAGGAAACCCUGCACUUCCCCAACUGAGUCUGGCUGCAAGACAACCCAGAAGGGAGAGGGCUGGCCUAAAGUGAACUGGAGCCCCAGCACCCUAAGCACUCCCUGAACAGCACCAACACACCUGCCCUCUGCUUUUCCUGAACACCUGGCACUCAGUGACCGUCUGCUGAAUGAAUGACUCCAUUUGUGGUGCCCACCAGCCAGGUGAGGUGGGUACGUAUGGAGGGGCUGAGGUUCAAAGAAGGAAGUGGCUGGCCCAAGGUCAAGGUGAGGUGCAGGGCCUGGGCCUUGACACAGAGGGUCCCUCCUCCCUGUCCAGGACAAAGGACCCGGGAGCAGACCUGGACAAGGACGGGGUACCAGCAGGGCCCUGGUUCAGCUGGGAUGACUGGAAGGGCCUAGCUCCCCCAGCUUCUCUGGUGCCACUUCCACCCGGUGCCCGCAUAGAACCCACCCCAGAGCUGCCUUUGAGCAGGCCCAGCAGGGGCCCUGCACUGAACUCUGGACUCCUCCCCCCUCCUUCCUCCCUGCCACUGCCACCCCCGCCCCCCCCCCCCCACUUGUUCACUCUGGGCAGCCGAGCAAGUCCAGAAGCUGGGGGAGGUCUUCAAACCCAAAGGGAAACAUCCACUGAGUAGGGGCCUGCCGGGCCUGGCCUCCUUUGAGCCCAUGUCCGCUCCUAGGACCAU